GAUGAACGCUGGCGGCGUGCCUAACACAUGCAAGUCGAACGGAAAGGCCUCUGCUUGCAGGGGUACUCGAGUGGCGAACGGGUGAGUAACACGUGGGUGAUCUGCCCUGCACUUCGGGAUAAGCCUGGGAAACUGGGUCUAAUACCGGAUAGGACAAUGGUUUGGAUGCUGUUGUGGAAAGUUUUUCGGUGUGGGAUGAGCUCGCGGCCUAUCAGCUUGUUGGUGGGGUAAUGGCCUACCAAGGCGUCGACGGGUAGCCGGCCUGAGAGGGUGUACGGCCACAUUGGGACUGAGAUACGGCCCAGACUCCUACGGGAGGCAGCAGUGGGGAAUAUUGCACAAUGGGCGCAAGCCUGAUGCAGCGACGCCGCGUGGGGGAUGACGGCCUUCGGGUUGUAAACUCCUUUCGCUAGGGACGAAGCGUUUUUGUGACGGUACCUGGAGAAGAAGCACCGGCUAACUACGUG
rnacentral:rRNA from 1 species